AGUUUGACUGGGGCGGUCGCCUCCCAAAGAGUAACGGAGGCGCGCGAUGGUGGGCUCAGAACGGUCGGAAAUCGUUCGAUGAGUGCAAUGGCAUAAGCCCGCCUGACUGUGAGGCCGACAGGCCGAACAGAGACGAAAGUCGGUCAUAGUGAUCCGGUGGUCCCUAGUGGAAGGGCCAUCGCUCAACGGAUAAAAGGUACGCCGGGGAUAACAGGCUGAUGAUUCCCAAGAGCUCAUAUCGACGGA
rnacentral:rRNA from 13 species